CCUACGGGUGGCUGCAGUGGGGAAUAUUGGACAAUGGGCGAAAGCCUGAUCCAGCCAUGCCGCGUGUGUGAAGAAGGCCUUCGGGUUGUAAAGCACUUUCAGUGGGGAAGAAAGCCUUGGGGCUAAUACCCUCGAGGAAGGACAUCACCCACAGAAGAAGCACCGGCUAACUCCGUGCCAGCAGCCGCGGUAAUACGGAGGGUGCGAGCGUUAAUCGGAAUUACUGGGCGUAAAGCGCGCGUAGGCGGUCUGAUAAGCCGGUUGUGAAAGCCCCGGGCUCAACCUGGGAACGGCAUCCGGAACUAUCAGGCUAGAGUGCAGGAGAGGAAGGUAGAAUUCCCGGUGUAGCGGUGAAAUGCGUAGAGAUCGGGAGGAAUACCAGUGGCGAAGGCGGCCUUCUGGACUGACACUGACGCUGAGGUGCGAAAGCGUGGGUAGCAAACAGGAUUAGAUACCCGUGUAGUC
rnacentral:rRNA from 1 species